GAUCAUGGCUCAGGAUGAACGCUAGCUACAGGCUUAACACAUGCAAGUCGAGGGGCAGCAUGGUCUUAGCUUGCUAAGGCCGAUGGCGACCGGCGCACGGGUGAGUAACACGUAUCCAACCUGCCGUCUACUCUUGGACAGCCUCCUGAAAGAAAGAUUAAUACCCGAUAGCAUAGUUUCCCCGCAUGGGGUUACUAUUAAAGGAUUCCGGUUAUCGAUGGGGAUGCGUUCCAUUAGG
rnacentral:rRNA from 1 species